GCGCCUGUGGCCUAAUGGAUAAGGCACCAGUCUUCGGAACUGGCUAUUGCAGGUUCAAGUCCUGCCAGGCGCG
rnacentral:tRNA from 1 species